UUGAAUGGCCGCGGUAUAUUGACCGUGCUAAGGUAGCAUAAUCAUUAGUUUUUUAAUUGAAAGCUGGAAUGAAGGGUUGGAUGAAGAAUUAUCUGUCUCUGUUAAAUUAUUAUAGAAUUUUAUUUUUAAGUUCAAAAGCUUAAAUAUUUUUAAAAGACGAGAAGACCCUAUAGAGUUUUACAUAAUUGAUUAAGUUUUUAUUUGGUAUUAAUUAAAAAUUUAGAUAUUUUGUUUAAUUGGGGUGAUUAAAAAAUUUAAUGAACUUUUUUUAAUUAUUUAUAUUAAUUAAUAGAUUUUUGAUCCGAUAUUUUUGAUUAUAAGAUUAAAUUACCUUAGGGAUAACAGCGUAAUUUUAUUAGAGAGUU
rnacentral:rRNA from 1 species